rnacentral:rRNA from 1 species
CGGACGGGUGAGUAAUGUAUGGGGAUCUGCCUGAUGGCGGGGGAUAAUUACUGGAAACGGUAGCUAAUACCGCAUAACGUCGCAAGACCAAAGAGGGGACCUUCGGGCCUCUUGCCAUCGGAUGUGCCCAGAUGGGAUUAGCUAGUAGGUGGGGUAACGGCUCACCUAGGCGACGAUCCCUAGCUGGUCUGAGAGGAUGACCAGCCACACUGGAACUGAGACACGGUCCAG